GGAUGGGGUGUAGCUUAGGAGUAGAGCAUCUGUUUUGCAUGCAUUAGAUCCUGGGUUCAAUCUCCAGCACCUCCA